CUUUCCUCCUUUCCUCUUCCCUUCCCUCCCAGGGUCAUCACCUGGUGUCGUCUUUCCUUCCUCCCCCACCACCAGCCCUCCUCCGGUGAGAACAUUUUAAUAGCAAUGACACCGAUAAUAAUAAUAAUAAUAAUAAUAAUACUCCUUGCGUUUGAUACAGCGCCUCAUCACGUCUUCGAGAAGACGUCUCAAAGCGCUUCUCGGGAAUAUAGCGUGAAGUGAACGGACUUCCUGCGGCUGCAAACGUUUGUCUUCCAGUUGGCGCAGCGCAGAGAAUCGAGGGACGAUUCAUAAAUCUGGUCCUGCUCUGGAAGUGGGUUCUUCUUCCAGAACUGCCUCCAGAUAACUCCAGGUCCACGCGAAGACGGGGUUUAAGAAUUUUCUCCUGUCCUGCGCUAUCUUCUUCAAUAUAAGUAAGACAAGUUGGUCCAACCGGGUAAAGAUCGGAUGGCAUUUUGGGCCCCAACGCAGCUGUCGGCUCUCCUGGUAACUCGUUGUUCGUGUACCAUUUCCAGAAGAAGAGUUUGUUGCAGUAAUGCCUUCCAGAUUCUCGUAUUCCAACCUCCUCGCGAGGCAAUGUAUCAACAGAUGCAGCAAAUAAAGAUUAUUUGAAAUGAAA